GAAUGAACGACUCUCGGCAACGGAUAUCUCGGCUCUCGCAUCGAUGAAGAACGUAGCGAAAUGCGAUACUUGGUGUGAAUUGCAGAAUCCCGUGAACCAUCGAGUCUUUGAACGCAAGUUGCGCCUGAAGCCUUUGGCUGAGGGCACGUCUGCCUGGGCGUCACGC
rnacentral:rRNA from 1 species